GGGCCGGGUGGGGCGGGGCGGCCUGUGGUCAAGACUGGGCGAGGCCUCCCAGGACUGCGCGGGUGGAGCCUGGUUUCUGUUGUCUACAAGAGCCCACACAGGCAUCUGCUGCUGAAAAUUCCUGGUCAUAUCAUCCAAGACAUGAUGUCUGAGACAAAGGAGGUUAAAGUGCUGGCAUCUUGCCUCGUCAGACCACAUGGAAAACGUGAUAUUCAGGCCUAACGUUUGAUGAACUCAACUGUGUGCAGGCGGUGGCUGGGUGUCUGGAAACCAUCCCUCGGACUGAGGAAGAAGUCAAGCAACUGUGCAGGUGUGCAGGUUAUGGACACGAAGCACAUUCAUACUGUGCAGUCACCACCACCAUCUGUUCGCAUCAGCUUUUUCAUCUUUCACAACUGAAACUCUGUUCCUGUGAAACACUCACACCCCAUUUCCCAGAGGAGGCUGCUUUGUAGGGUGCUGCUGCUAUCAUCAACCUGUGUGUUUGUUUUUGUUAACCUGUCUUCAGGAAGAUUGAAUAAGGAAUUUAAAUGGCCCUUAUAUCAAAUACACAAUUAAUGUGUAAAAUCUGAAUGUGGAAUCCUUUUACUACUCUCUUGCCAGUAUCUUCAACUUCGUUGUCCCUCUGACCUUCUGUCACUCCCCCCCUGGAAAACCUCGGCCUGGGGGGCAGUUUGCUCCACCUCUCCUGAGCCUUGGAUUGGCAGCAAUCCAAGUCUCCCAUAAACAAGUCCCGUUCUCCCAUCCUCCAGCCUCCCAUGCAUUAUCCUCCACACCCACAGAGGACCCCAGAGAAUUUUCUAGCAGGCACCCUUUCUAUUCUCCUCCAUCAAGAUCAGGAGACUAUCAGCCUCUGCAUUCAUCUGGCCCCCAUCUUCCUAUGAAGCCGGAAUCUUCCAUCCUCCCUGUUCCCUGCACUCUGGGUCAUUAGGCACCAGCUG